rnacentral:rRNA from 1 species
AGAGUUUGAUCCUGGCUCAGGACAAACGCUGGCGGCGUGCAUAAAACAUGCAAGUCGAACGGGCCGAUCCCCGCAAGGGGAAAGGCUAGUGGCGAACGGGUGAGUAACACGUGGGUGACCUACCUUCGAGUGGGGGAUAACCUUCCGAAAGGAGGGCUAAUACCGCAUGACAUCCCAUGUUUGGAUACAUGGACAUCAAAGCCGGGGAUCGCAAGACCUGGCGCUUGAAGAGGGACCUGCGCCCGAUUAGCUAGUUGGUGAGGUAACGGCUCACCAAGGCUUCGAUCGGUAUCCGGCCUGAGAGGGCGGACGGACACACUGGAACUGAGACACGGUCCAGACUCCUACGGGAGGCAGCAGUGGGGAAUUGUUCGCAAUGGGCGCAAGCCUGACGACGCAACGCCGCGUGGAGGAUGAAGACUUUCGGGUCGUAAACUCCUUUCGACCGAGAUGAAAAGCCUGCGAUCUAAUAGGUCGCAGGUCUGACAGUAUCGAGAGAAGAAGCCCCGGCUAACUCCGUGCCAGCCGCCGCGGUAAUAC